rnacentral:rRNA from 1 species
UACGUAGGGUGCAAGCGUUGUCCGGAAUUAUUGGGCGUAAAGGGCUCGUAGGCGGUCCAUCGCGUCGGGAGUGAAAAGCUGGGGCUUAACCCCAGUCCUGCUUCCGAUACGGGUGGACUAGAGGUAGGUAGGGGAGAUCGGAAUUCCUAGUGUAGCGGUGAAAUGCGCAGAUAUUAGGAGGAACGACCGGUGGCGAAGGCGGAUCGUCUGGGCCUUACCGUGACGCUGAGGAGCGAAAGCAUG